rnacentral:rRNA from 1 species
GAUGAACGCUGGCGGCGUGCCAAAUACAUGCCAGUCGAGCGAACAGACGAGGAGCUUGCUCCUCUGACGUUAGCGGCGGACGGGUGAGUAACACGUGGAUAACCUACCUAUAAGACUGGGAUAACUUCGGGAAACCGGAGCUAAUACCGGAUAAUAUAUUGAACCGCAUGGUUCAAUAGUGAAAGACGGUUUUGCUGUCACUUAUAGAUGGAUCCGCGCCGCAUUAGCUAGUUGGUAAGGUAACGGCUUACCAAGGCAACGAUGCGUAGCCGACCUGAGAGGGUGAUCGGCCACACUGGAACUGAGACACGGUCCAGACUCCUACGGGAGGCAGCAGUAGGGAAUCUUCCGCAAUGGGCGAAAGCCUGACGGAGCAACGCCGCGUGAGUGAUGAAGGUCUUCGGAUCGUAAAACUCUGUUAUUAGGGAAGAACAAAUGUGUAAGUAACUAUGCACGUCUUGACGGUACCUAAUCAGAAAGCCACGGCUAACUACGUG